GGUAUAAUAUCUUCAAUCUCGUUCUCUCCUCAAAAUGGGAUGCUCGCAGUUGGCCCGUAUAGCCAGACAACAGCUGUUUAUGCGGAGGGUAACAUGGAGCCAUUAUAUGUUCUACAUGGCCAGCUUGGGGGUGUUACACAGGUGCUUUUUUUGAAAGAUGGAAAUUAUUUAUAUACUGGAGGGCGGAAGGAUCCAUACAUAUUAUGUUGGGAUAUUCGGAACACCGUGGACAUUGUUUACAAGUAAGUAUUUAAACACAUUCUAGAUUACUC